rnacentral:rRNA from 1 species
CACGUAGGGCGCGAGCGUUGUCCGGAAUUAUUGGGGCGUAAAGAGCUCGUAGGCGGCCUGUUGCGUCCGCUGUGAAAGCCCCGGGGCUUAACCCCGGGUCUGCAGUGGAUACGGGCAGGCUAGAGGUAGGUAGGGGAGAAUGGAAUUCCCGGUGUAGCGGUGAAAUGCGCAGAUAUCGGAGGAGGACACCGGUGGCGAAGGCGGGUCUCUGGGCAAUAACUGACGCUGGAGGAGCGAAAAGCGUGGGGAGCGAACAGG